rnacentral:rRNA from 1 species
GACGAACGCUGGCGGCGUGCCUAAUACAUGCAAGUUGAGCGAUGAAGAUUGGUGCUUGCACCAAUUUGAAGAGCAGCGAACGGGUGAGUAACGCGUGGGGAAUCUGCCUUUGAGCGGGGGACAACAUUUGGAAACGAAUGCUAAUACCGCAUAACAACUUUAAACAUAAGUUUUAAGUUUGAAAGAUGCAAUUGCAUCACUCAAAGAUGAUCCCGCGUUGUAUUAGCUAGUUGGUGAGGUAAAGGCUCACCAAGGCGAUGAUACAUAGCCGACCUGAGAGGGUGAUCGGCCACAUUGGGACUGAGACACGGCCCAAACUCCUACGGGAGGCAGCAGUAGGGAAUCUUCGGCAAUGGAUGAAAGUCUGACCGAGCAACGCCGCGUGAGUGAAGAAGGGUUUCGGAUCGUAAAACUCUGUUGGUAGAGAAGAACGUUGGUGAGAGUGGAAAGCUCAUCAAGUGACGGUAACUACCCAGAAAGGGACGGCUAACUACGUG